rnacentral:rRNA from 1 species
GCUUGCUCUCGUGGAUCAGUGGCGAACGGGUGAGUAACACGUGAGUAACCUGCCCCAGACUCUGGGAUAAGCCUUGGAAACGAGGUCUAAUACCGGAUACGAGACGAGACCGCAUGGUCAUCGUCUGGAAAGAAUUUCGGUCUGGGAUGGACUCGCGGCCUAUCAGCUUGUUGGUGAGGUAAUGGCUCACCAAGGCGACGACGGGUAGCCGGCCUGAGAGGGCGACCGGCCACACUGGAACUGAGACACGGUCCAGACUCCUACGGGAGGCAGCAGUGGGGAAUAUUGCACAAUGGGCGCAAGCCUGAUGCAGCGACGCCGCGUGGGGGAUGAAGGCCUUCGGGUUGUAAACCCCUUUCAGCAGGGAAGAAGCGAAAGUGACGGUACCUGCAGAAGAAGCGCCGGCUAACUACGUGCCAGCAGCCGCGGUAAUACGUAGGGCGCAAGCGUUGUCCGGAAUUAUUGGGCGUAAAGAGCUCGUAGGCGGUCUGUCGCGUCUGCUGUGAAAACCCGAGGCUCAACCUCGGGCCUGCAGUGGGUACGGGCAGACUAGAGUGUGGUAGGGGAGACUGGAAUUCCUGGUGUAGCGGUGGAAUGCGCAGAUAUCAGGAGGAACACCAAUGGCGAAGGCAGGUCUCUGGGCCACAACUGACGCUGAGGAGCGAAAGCAUGGGGAGCGAACAGGAUUAGAUACCCUGGUAGUCCAUGCCGUAAACGGUGGGCACUAGAUGUGGGGCUCUUUCCAUGAGUUCCGCGUCGCAGCUAACGCAUUAAGUGCCCCGCCUGGG